ensembl:snoRNA
AUCCUUAAAUGAAUGAAGAGAUACCAAAAAGAAAAAUAAGCAAAGAACAGAUAAUAGAAAGAAGCACAGCAAAUACAACAUAAUACUGACAGUAAAUAU